AGAGGGUGCGAGCGUUGUCCGGAAUCACUGGGCGUAAAGGGCGCGUAGGUGGUCUGAUAAGGGUGUGGUGAAAGCCCGGGGCUCAACCCCGGGUCGGCCGUGCCGACUGUUGGACUAGAGUGCUGUAGGGGCAGGCGGAAUUCCGGGUGUAGCGGUGGAAUGCGUAGAGAUCCGGAGGAAGACCGGUGGCGAAGGCGGCCUGCUGGGCAGUUACUGACACUGAGGCGCGACAGCGUGGGGAGCAAACAGGAUUAGAUACCCUGGUAGUCCACGCCGUAAACGAUGGGUACUAGGUGCCUGGGGGAGCGACCCCUUGGGUGCCGGCGCUAACGCAGGAAGUACCCCGCCUGGGGAGUACGACCGCAAGGUUG
rnacentral:rRNA from 1 species